AGAACAAGUGAACGGAGCCGAGGCUGAAAGGGCUGCGCCUUCGAGUUAAAUCCAGUCCUUCUUAUUACUGCACAGGCGUGGAGAGGAAGACACACACUCGCGUGAGUCACCCCUUAGACAAGGUGCUUCACUUCUGGGCGCUUUGCUGUGAACUACAGGAUCCUGAAGCACAGAGAACCAGGCUGGAUCAUUCACAGUUGACCUGAGGAGAGAAUGCACACUCAUCUGGAGAGAUGGGCUGAAAAGCCAGUUCCUGAGAUGUUUGACGUCUCCUCAUUCAUGUGAACAUGAAGGGAAGCAAGCUUAACGGUGGUUGUCAGUGGAACCACAAGGUGGGAGCAGAAAACUCCGGAAGAGCUCCAAGGCAGCUUUCCUAGACUUGUGAGGGCAUGCGUGCCUGUACAUGGGUUUUAGAGUCUGAAAAAAAGCCUGGAAGGACUCUUAUCACCAGAGAAGCAAUGGAUGUCCAUGCUGGAUACUGUCACAUGAUUCACUUUGGCCAAUGGGACCUUUGUAAACAUGAAAAAAAAAAAAAAAAAGAAAAACAGAGGCUAGAAAAGUACUUAUCUACUGGAAUAAUCCUAUUGAAGAAGCCUAGGGAACCUGGCCUAGUCAACAGACAGCUUUAAAGACCAGUCAUGUCAGAGACCGUUUGGCAUCUUCAGUCUCGAUAAAGAUGCCAGAUGCUGGGGGUCAGGCAGUGUCAGCGAAGAAUCACUCAGCCCGCCAAUCCGCUGCCUUCGAAUCAUGAGCCAACUAGCCAGCCCGGAACUCGGGCUAAGGCAGGAAGACUGUGAGUAGGAGGCUGGCGAACAUGACAACCCAAGUUAUAGUCUUAAACCACGGAAAUUCUGUAUGUUAUAGAAUAAUAAAUCAUUGAGA